GCUUGUCUCAAAGAUUAAGCCAUGCAUGUCUAAGUGUAAAUAAGUCUAUACUGUGAAACUGCGAAUGGCUCAUUAAAUCAGUUAUCGUUUAUUUGAUGAUCUCUUACUACUUGGAUAACCGUAGUAAUUCUAGAGCUAAUACAUGCGCAAAUACCCAACUGCUUGUCGGACGGGUAGCAUUUAUUAGAUGGAAACCAAUGCGGGGCAACCCGGUAUAUGGUGAUUCAUAAUAACUUUCGGAUCGAUCUUCGGAUCGAUGCAUCAUUCAAGUUUCUGCCCUAUCAGCUUUGGAUGGUAGGGUAUUGGCCUACCAUGGCUUUAACGGGUAACGGAGAAUUAGGGUUCGAUUCCGGAGAGGGAGCCUGAGAAACGGCUACCACAUCCAAGGAAGGCAGCAGG
rnacentral:rRNA from 1 species